UACAUGGGGUGCAAACGUUGCUCGGAAUUAUUGGGUGUAAAGCGCGCGUAGGCGGUUACUCAAGUCGGAUGUGAAAGCCCUCGGCUUAACUGAGGAAGUGCACCCGAAACUGAGUAGCUAGAGUACUAAAGAGGGUCGCGGAAUUCCCGGUGUAGAGGUGAAAUUCGUAGAUAUCGGGAGGAACACCGGUGGCGAAGGCGGUUCUCUGGGCCUUACCUGACGCUGAGGAGCGAAAGCGUGGGGAGCAAACAGG
rnacentral:rRNA from 1 species